UCUCAUAAAAUUAAACAACAAUCAAUUUUUUAUAAAAAAGCUGUAAUAUACUAAAAGUAUUUAUUUGUUUGAACGUGCACAAUCUAACUGCGCAUGUAUUGAGUUUGCGCGCUUUGAAACUUCAUACAGGGAACUAUUAGACCCCCAUCUACCUCCCAUAUUUUCCUUAAUGCUGAACUCCGGGGUUAGCAAUCUAAAGCCCACCCAAAAAUUUAAUAUAAACGCGAGAACGAAAGGUGGACGUGAAUUGUGGAAAGGCAGUACCCGUGGCCUGUGAGAUAAAGGAAACCAACAAAGUGUGACAAAAAAAACAAUCAAAAGCAUAAAUUUAAUUUAAAAGCAAAGACGAAAGAUGGACGUGUAUUGUGGCGAGUGGUUCUUGUGUAUUUGCGGCCAUACUAAGAAAA